rnacentral:rRNA from 1 species
UACAGAGGUCCCGAGCGUUGUUCGGAUUCACUGGGCGUAAAGGGUGCGUAGGUGGUGACGUAAGUCGGAUGUGAAAUCUCGGAGCUCAACUCCGAAACGGCAUUGGAAACUGCGUUGCUAGAGGGUUGGAGGGGGGACUGGAAUGCUUGGUGUAGCAGUGAAAUGCGUAGAUAUCAAGCGGAACACCAGUGGCGAAGGCGAGUCCCUGGACAACACCUGACACUGAGGCACGAAAGCUAGGGGAGCAAACGGG